rnacentral:rRNA from 1 species
UGGGUGGAUGAGUGGCGAACGGGUGAGUAACACGUGAGUAACCUGCCCCCUUCUUUGGGAUAACGCCCGGAAACGGGUGCUAAUACUGGAUAUUCACUUGCCUUCGCAUGGGGGUUGGUGGAAAGGGUUUUUUCUGGUGGGGGAUGGGCUCGCGGCCUAUCAGCUUGUUGGUGGGGUGAUGGCCUACCAAGGCUUUGACGGGUAGCCGGCCUGAGAGGGUGACCGGUCACAUUGGGACUGAGAUACGGUCCAG